AUUGAACGCUGGCGGCAGGCCUAACACAUGCAAGUCGAGCGAGAGGCGGACGGGUGAGUAAUGUCUGGGAAACUGCCUGAUGGAGGGGGAUAACUACUGGAAACGGUAGCUAAUACCGCAUACCCUCAGAUGUGCCCAUAUGUGAUAAGCUGGGAGGUGAGGUAACGGCCCACCUCGGCGACGAUCCCUAGCUGGUCUGAGAGGAUGAUCAGCCACACGGGGACGGAGACAAGGCCCAGACUCCUACGGGAGGCAGCAGUGGGGAAUAUUGCACAAUGGGCGCAAGCCUGAUGCAGCCAUGCCGCGUGUAUGAAGAAGGCCUUCGGGUUGUAAAGUACUUUCAGUCGGGAGGCGUUACCGACAGAAGAAGCACCGGCUAACUCCGUGCCAGCAGCCGCGGUAAUUC
rnacentral:rRNA from 1 species